AUUGAACGCUGGCGGCAGGCCUAAUACAUGCAAGUCGAGCGGAUGAACGAGGCUCUUGCUUGGCUUACGCUAGGGGCGGGCGGGUAAGUCACAGGAAGCUACCCGGCAUAGGGGACUAAGGUCAGUUAAGGGGCCCUAAGCUAGCACCGGUCCUUAUGUUGAAAGGGGUGGUUCUUCGGACCUAACCCUAUCUGCUGACCCUAGGUCGUAUUAGCUAGUUGGUGUGGUAAGGGCCUACCAAGGCGACGAUCCGUAACUGAUCUGAGAGGAUGAUCAGUCACACUGGAACUGAGACACGGUCCAGACUCCUACGGGAGGCAGCAGUGGGGAAUAUUGGACAAUGGGCGAAAGCCUGAUCCAGCCAUGCCGCGUGUGUGAAGAAGGUCUUCGGAUUGUAAAGCACUGUAAGUUGGGAGGAAGGGAAGUAAGUUAAUCCCUUGCUGUUUUGACGGUACCAACAGAAAAAGCACCGGCUAACUACGUG
rnacentral:rRNA from 1 species